rnacentral:rRNA from 1 species
UACGUAGGUGGCAAGCGUUGUCCGGAAUUAUUGGGCGUAAAGCGCGCGCAGGCGGUCCUUUAAGUCUGAUGUGAAAGCCCACGGCUCAACCGUGGAGGGUCAUUGGAAACUGGAGGACUUGAGUACAGAAGAGGAAAGCGGAUUCCACGUGUAGCGGUGAAAUGCGUUAGAGAUGUGGAGGAACACCAGUGGCGAAGGCGGCUUUCUGGUCUGUAACUGACGCUGAGGCGCGAAAAGCGUGGGGAGCAAACAGG